rnacentral:rRNA from 1 species
UACGUAGGGUGCAAGCGUUGUCCGGAAUUAUUGGGCGUAAAGAGCUCGUAGGCGGUUUGUCGCGUCUGCUGUGAAAACUCGGGGCUUAACCCCGGGCCUGCAGUGGGUACGGGCAGACUAGAGUGCGGUAGGGGAGACUGGAAUUCCUGGUGUAGCGGUGAAAUGCGCAGAUAUCAGGAGGAACACCGGUGGCGAAGGCGGGUAUCUGGGCAGUAACUGACGCUGAGGAGCGAAAGCGUGGGGAGCGAACAGG